UACGGGGGGAGCAAGCGUUGUUCGGAUUUACUGGGUUUAAAGGGUGCGUAGGCGGCAUUUUAAGUCAGUGGUGAAAUACUUCAGCUCAACUGGAGAGGUGCCAUUGAUACUGGGAUGCUUGAGUACUGAUGAGGUAGGCGGAAUGGACGGUGUAGCGGUGAAAUGCUUAGAUAUCGUCCAGAACACCGAUAGCGAAGGCAGCUUACUAAGGAGUAACUGACGCUGAGGCACGAAAGUGUGGGGAUCAAACAGG
rnacentral:rRNA from 1 species